GUUUCAUAGUUGCAUAAAUUUGUUUUUCUUCGCGCAUAUCUGAAGCCUUCAUUGUGUUUGGGCCUCUCUUUUGGUGAAAAUUUAUUUAUCUUAGGUUUUGCUCUGUUCUGUUCGUAACCUGUAUUUGGCUUCUAGGAUAACAGAUCUGCAUAUAUGCAUGCCUAUGUUGUUCUAGGUUUUCGUGACGUGCGUUUUAGAAUUAUCUUUUUAAGUUAAUAAUAUUGCGGAGAAUUUUAUUCAAGAGUUUUGCCAAUAAAUCUUUCUGUAUGUGUUAUUCCAUGAAAUAUUUGGAAAUUUGACCGUCUGUGGUUAGACCUGCAUAGAAAUCUUGCAUUAGAUUUACAUUAAUUUGCUGUGUACGUGUAUGCAAAUAUGUUUUAAGGGAUGCCUCAUUGGUGCAUGGUAUUAUCUAAUUUUCUUGUGUGCUGCA
rnacentral:misc_RNA from 1 species